GAUUUAUAGUAUUUUACUGGAAGAUGGUAUAUUUUAGCGAAGAUGGAACAUCAGGGAUGACUGAAUAACUUCCAGGUAAGAAUAUUGUUUUGUUUUCUAUAUAACAGAGCAAUUUUGAAAGGAAAUAUUUACUAUCUUCAUUCGUGAAUUUUGAGCAUGUGUUCCGUCUUAAAAUUUGAAUUCGCUGCGACAAUAUAAAUACAUUAGUUUUUAUACAAAGACUUAUAUUUGACUCAGCCUUUAUAUCAAAUUAUGUUUGUUGUAAUGCCAAAUAGACUAGUGUAUAUGAC